CGGGGGAAGAACUAACAAGGAUUCCCCUAGUAACUGCGAGUGAAGCGGGAAAAGCUCAAAUUUAAAAUCUGGCAGUCUCUGAUUGUCCGAGUUGUAAUCUAGAGAAGUGUUACCCGCGUUGGACCGUGUAUAAGUCUCCUGGAAUGGAGCGUCAUAGAGGGUGAGAAUCCCGUCUUUAACACGGACUACCAAGGCUUUGUGGUGCGCUCUCAAAGAGUCGAGUUGUUUGGGAAUGCAGCUCAAAAUGGGUGGUAAAUGCCAUCUAAAGCUAAAUACAGGCGAGAGACCGAUAGCGAACAAGUACCGUGAGGGAAAGAUGAAAAGAACUUUGGAAAGAGAGUUAAACAGUACGUGAAAUUGCUGAAAGGGAAACGCUUGAAGUCAGUCGCGUUGGCUGGGAAUCAACCUUGCUUUUGCUUUGGUGUACUUUCCAGUCGACGGGUCAACAUCAAUUUUGAUCGGUGGAUAAGGUCGCGAGGAAUGUGGCAUCUUCGGAUGUGUUAUAGCCUUGUGUCAUAUACAUUGAUUGGGAUUGAGGAACUCAGCACGCCGAAAGGCCAGGUUUCGACCAUGUUCGUGCUUAGGAUGUUGGCAAAAUGGCUUUAAUCGACCCGUCUUGAAACACGGACCAAGGAGUCUAACAUGCCUGCGAGUGUUUGGGUGGAAAACCCGAGCGCACAAUGAAAGUGAAAGUUGAGAUCCCUGUCGUGGGGAGCAUCGACGCCCGGACCAGACCUUUUGUGACGGAUCCGCGGUAGAGCAUGUAUGUUGGGACCCGAAAGAUGGUGAACUAUGCCUGAAUAGGGUGAAGCCAGAGGAAACUCUGGUGGAGGCUCGUAGCGAUUCUGACGUGCAAAUCGAUCGUCAAAUUUGGGUAUAGGGGCGAAAGACUAAUCGAACCAUCUAGUAGCUGGUUCCUGCG
rnacentral:rRNA from 1 species